rnacentral:rRNA from 1 species
UUUUAAUUGUGGGAUGGAAUGAAAGGUUAAACGAAUACAAAUUAGAUUUUGAUCAUAACAUUUUAAUUAGAUUUUCAAGUUAAAAAUCUUGAAAUUCAUUUAGGGACGAGAAGACCCUAUAAAGUUUAAUUCUAAUUAUAUUUAUAUAAAUAUAUAAGAAUUUUGUUGGGGUAACAUUAUAAGAUAAAAUUUUAUAAUUUUAAUUUAAUGAUUUGAUCCAUUAUUAAUGACUACGAGAUUAAAUUACUUUAGGGAUAACAGCAUAAUUAAAAUUUUGGAGUUCAUAUUUACAAUUUUGAUUGUGACCUCGAUGUUG